UCCCUCUGUCAUUUGUCUUGUCAGUCAUUGUAAAUGUUGCUUGUUUUCCUGAGAGGAAUCUCUCCUAUUUCCUGAACUUUAUUUUGCACUUUAGGUCUCGUCCUGCAUUUAUUUAGAUAUAUAUGUGUGUGUAGAGAGAUAUAUAUAUAUAGAAUGAGAGAGAGGGGGUUUUAAUAAACUCAGUAGUUCUAAACCUGCGACUGCCAACUCUACGCCUUUGUCAGUGGGUUUGUGGCUCAGUCUAUCUAACUGAACAUUGUCUCUCCAGAUGAUUGUAAAGAACCUGUCCACAGGGAUUGCAGGUUGUGCUGAAAUCCCACUACGGCCAUGAGAUAGACGAGGUGAAGAUCAUGAAGAAGGACUGCUACCUGGUGGCCCACACCUCUGAUACCCUGCUGCUGGGAGACUUGUCCUCCAACAACCUGAGUGAGAUGGCAGGGCUCCCAGGGGGAAUGAGAAAUUCUUCUUUGAAAAUGAAAUGGAAUUCUGAAUUGUCUCAGAGUAGGGAGUCAGCUGCUGACUGAUGUGUUGUCAGCUGUGUAUGAUUUGCAACACUGGGGCGCUGAUGCUGGUGGAGUACGGCAGCAACAACAUCCUGGGAUCAGUGAGAACUGAGUUCAUGAACCCACAUUUCAUCUGUGUUUGUCUCAAUGAGCGCAAACAGAAUGGAUUUGAAGACAGCAACAAGUUAGCCUACCUGAUUGACAUCAAGACCAUUGCCAUUGCCGCCCGUCAGUGAUUGAUACUAUGCCCUACAGGCACAGCUCAGGUAAUCUUCUCCCUCCCACUCACAGUGGAUUUGGCUGGCGGUUACAACCUGGGAACCAUCAGCCAUGACUCCAAGACUGACUUGUUGGAGCUCAACUAGAUGGGGCGCAAGCUGCUUUACAGAACAGCCCAAGUCGUUGGUGUAUGGACUCUACAAGGUGUCGGAAGCGUUUCACAGAGAUGCUUGCCCAUGUUGACUCCAAUGCUUCCCACAGUUGUGUCAAGUUGGCUGGAUGUCCUUUGGAUGGUGAACUAUGAUACACAUGGGAAACUGUUGAGCGUGAAAAACCCAGCAGCAUUGCAGUUCUUGACACAAACGUAUGCACCGUAUGUACCCUGCUCAAAGGCAAAUAUUUUGUCUUGCCCAUUCACUCUCUGAAUGGCACUCAAA